rnacentral:misc_RNA from 1 species
UAUGUCACUGACAUCAUAAUUUAUCGUGUUGUGGACGUAGCAGCAGUAGAAAUAUCGCAUAUUAGGAGCUCAGAAUUGUGUUUUAUCGUUAAUUCAUUCCUCAGGAUCGUACUUCUGAGAUUCCUCUGUCGAUGUAAUUACAAGGCCAAUUAGACGAGAUGAGGCUUUACGCGGAAAAGACGGUUCUUUACAACGACCAGUUUACCGGAACCACACCAAUUUCUUCUUCGUCCAGAAACUCCAGAAAAGUCCACCUAAAAGACAAGAAAAGAAAAGAAAUUCGUGAGAUUUAUGUCUACACCAGUUUUACAAAUUUAUACACGAAAUCUGUAGUUUUGGAGAUUGUUGUAAAUAAUGGCCGACUGGGAUAGAGACUUACACUAGAAAAGGAAAUUUUUCGUGCUGCAGAGAACGUUCUUAUUCCCAGCGGUAAUUAAAAAGACAAAAGUUCUAGGUAUUUCAUUUUAAAAAAUUAACUUUAAAAAAUCGUAUUGUUUAACACAGCAGUUACAAAGUUGAAAGUGUUUCUACGUGUAACAAAACUAACGCGUCAUUCUAGCUUCAAUAGAACCCCUGAUGUUUACGUUCAAAGAUUGAUUUAUGAUCUGGGUGUGUCAAGUUACACGUAAUGUCAUGGCAUCGGCUUCCCGGUGUGAUAAAUGUUCUGAAUAUAAUUACUUGAACUGGCUUCUCUUUAGGUUGUCUGACCGUAACAUCGACAAACCGGUUUAUCUCUAGUCAUAAAUAUUCCCGGGAAACUCCACCUUCUAAUGGUAUGUCUAUGGGAGACCUUUUUGCCGUUAAUUGGCUUUAAAUUUCUUGUUUAAACGCCUUUUACUCUCUAUUUAGUCAAUUCUAUUAUGACUGAAUCAAUAUAAAUCAACAAGUGUUUUUCAGAACCGAC